rnacentral:rRNA from 1 species
CCUACGGGUGGCUGCAGUGAGGAAUAUUGGUCAAUGGGCGUAAGCCUGAACCAGCCAAGUCGCGUGCGGGAUGAAGGCUCUAUGGAUCGUAAACCUCUUUUAUAAGGGAAUAAAGUGUGGGACGUGUCCUGUUUUGUAUGUACCUUAUGAAUAAGGAUCGGCUAACUCCGUGCCAGCAGCCGCGGUAAUACGGAGGAUCCGGGCGUUAUCCGGAUUUAUUGGGUUUAAAGGGUGCGUAGGCGGCCUUUUAAGUCAGCGGUGAAAGUCUGUGGCGCAACCAUAGAAUUGCCGUUGAAACUGGGUGGCUUGAGUAGGUGUGAGGUAGGCGGAAUGCGUGGUGUAGCGGUGAAAUGCUUAGAUAUCACGAAGAACCCCGAUUGCGAAGGCAGCCUGCGAAGCCAUGACUGACGCUGAUGCACGAAAGCGUGGGGAUCAAACAGGAUUAGAUACCCGGGUAGUC